UACGUAGGGUGCAAGCGUUAAUCGGAAUUACUGGGCGUAAAGCGUGCGCAGGCGGUUUUGUAAGUCAGAUGUGAAAUCCCCGGGCUUAACCUGGGAACUGCGUUUGAAACUACAAGGCUAGAGUGUGGCAGAGGGGGGUGGAAUUCCACGUGUAGCAGUGAAAUGCGUAGAGAUGUGGAGGAACAUCCAUGGCGAAGGCAGCCCCCUGGGUUAACACUGACGCUCAGGCACGAAAGCGUGGGGAGCAAACAGA
rnacentral:rRNA from 1 species